AGUGAAUCCAAGCCCAGGACAGAAAGUUCAGUACGGGAAUAGGAAGAAGAGUUAAAAUGGCUAGUCACCAGAGUA